rnacentral:lncRNA from 1 species
GGAUUCUUAGAUUUGCUUCACUGUUGGGAUGUUUUGGAGAGCAUGACUUGGAGGCUCAAUUACGGAUACUGUUAAGAAUGCUACUUCUUAUUGAUCAAACUGUGCACUUGCACUUAAGUUUGCAAGUAACACUUUCCUUGCCAAAAUGAAUUAUAUGAGUGUAACUUCUAUGAAACUACCAUUAUAUCCACUAUCUUCA